GACGAACGCUGGCGGCGUGCCUAAUACAUGCAAGUCGAACGGACAGGCCCUGCUCUUGUGGGGUGCUCGAUUGGCGAACGGGUGAGUAACACGUGAGUAUCCUGCCCUUGACUUUGGGAUAUCUUUUGGAAACUGGGGCUAAUAUAGGAUAGGAGCUCCUGCUGCAUGGUGGGGGUUCGAAAGUUUCGGCGGUUGGGGCUGGUCUCGCGGCUUCUGAGCUUGUUGGUAAGGUAGUGGCUUACCAAGGCUUCGACGGGUAGCCGGCCUGGGAGGGUGACCGGCCCAUUAGGACUAAGAUACGGCCCAGACUCCAACUGGAGGCAACAGUGGAGAAUAUUGCACAGUGAGCGGGAGCCUGUGACAGCAGCGCCGCGUGCGGGAUGACGGCCUUCGGGUUGAAAACCACUUUCGCCUUAAACAAGGCGGGAGUGACGGUAAUGAGUAAAAAAGCACCGGCUAACUACGUG
rnacentral:rRNA from 1 species